CGGGGCGUAGCGCAGCCUGGUAGCGUACAUGCAUGGGGUGCAUGUGGUCGGAGGUUCAAAUCCUCUCGCCCCGACCA
rnacentral:tRNA from 48 species